rnacentral:rRNA from 1 species
GCGUGCCUCAGACAUGCAAGUCGAACGCGAAAGCCUCCUUCGGGGGGCAAGUAGAGUGGCGCACGGGUGAGUAACACGUAGGUAAUCUACCUUUGGAUUGGGAAUAACCACCGGAAACGGUGGCUAAUACCGAAUAAUGCAGCGGCACCUAAUGGUGACAGUUGUUAAAGCGGGGGAUCGCAAGACCUCGCGUCUGAAGAGGAGCCUGCGGCAGAUUAGCUAGUUGGUAAGGUAACGGCUUACCAAGGCGAUGAUCUGUAGCCGGCCUGAGAGGGCGGUCGGCCACACUGACACUGACAUACGGGUCAGACUCCUACGGGAGGCAGCAGUCGGGAAUUUUGGGCAAUGGGCGAAAGCCUGACCCAGCAACGCCGCGUGAAGGAUGAAAUCCCUCGGGAUGUAAACUUCGCAAGAACGGGAAGAAUAAGUAAGGGUUAAUAUCUCUUACGAUGACGGUACUGUUUGUAAGCUCCGGCUAACUCCGUGCCAGCAGCCGCGGUAAUACGGGGGGAGCAAGCGUUGUUCGGAUUUACUGGGCGUAAAGGGCGCGUAGGCGGCCACCGCAAGUCGACUGUGAAAUCUCCGGGCUUAACCCGGAAAGGUCAGCCGAUACUGCGGGGCUAGAGUGCAGAAGGGGCAACUGGAAUUCUCGGUGUAGCGGUGAAAUGCGUAGAUAUCGAGAGGAACACCUGCGGCGAAGGCGGGUUGCUGGGCUGACACUGACGCUGAGGCGCGAAAGCUAGGGGAGCGAACGGGAUUAGAUACCCCGGUAGUCCUAGCCUUAAACGAUGAAUGCUUGGUGUCUGGGGUUUUAUAGUCCCCGGGUGCCGUCGCUAACGCUUUAAGCAUUCCGCCUGGGGAGUACGGUCGCA